UAUACAUAUACGUUCAAUGACAAUAAAUUAUUACAUUACACAUUUAAUUCUGUAUAUUUGUAUAUGUUUAAACUUAAAAAAAAAGGUAAACAAGUGGCUCUUGUAGUGAAAUGGAUCCAAUUAAAUUAAAAGUUAAAUAAUAAUCUGAACAAAGUAUUAAAUUAAGCUGCCAUUCACACAAAAGUUGAAAUUGGAACAUUUAUAGCCGUCAAACAAUGAACGAUGAUACGUGCGUAAUUAUAUUUGCGGUAUCGGAAUUCCGGGCACCUACCUACUUCUAUGUAACAGUGGAUAUGACAAAAAUAUUUCUGAACAAUUUAAACGCUCGAUCGCUGCACUCGCACUGCACGCACACAAAUGCAACAUUAUAUAUACCGCGUAUAUUAUACGUAUACGUUUUGCCGCGCGAAAAUCACGAGAUUCGCAGCGCUGUUCACUGACUGGCGCCUUGGCCAACACUGGACCGGUUGUCGUUGUGGGAGCGCACCUGGCUAAAAAUGUAGGUACCCAUAUUACUCUAUGUUUGUUAUUUAUAUAUAUAUAUAUAUUAAUACCGUGUGUCUGUAUCACGCCGCGACGAAGACACGACCAUUGCAUAUUCACGCUUUGCAAGAAGGUAAUAAGGUGUCUUCGCACCGCAAAACGUGUCGCUGUGGUUGGUCGAAACCAUUUUAAUUCUUUUCAUACGAGCAUUUUCUCAAAGUCACAAAGGAUGACGUCUUAGCCCCCUCCUCCAAUCCUAAAAGAUAAAUGUAUUGGUCAAAUAUCGGCUAUUGGUUAUUUAUGGGUAUUUGUCCUCAAAAUUGAUUAUUAUAAUUCUAUCUUAUUUCGUAGACCCAUCAUUCAUUAUCGUUUAUUUUUAUUUUUACUAAAUUUUCGUAGAUACUCUAUAAGACUAUAAUGAAGAAAAUUAAAUAUUAUCCAUGCCUUUUAUGCAUUAAGACAGAAUCUAUCUCUAAAGUAUUCAGAGGAGAGUAUCUCUAAUAAUAUUUGUAUAGAAAGUAAUUUAAAUAAAUUUCCAAAAAAAAAACUGAUAGGUUCUAUUUUAAUUAAAAAUAAAAAUAAAUAUACAUAAAAAUAUUUAAAUUUGGUCGUUUUUUUAUUUAAAAAUUGGCUAGUGUUAUUUAUUUUGUUGCGUGGUUGGGUGUGUAUUUUAACAAUCUCUAUACCUACCUUUCAGCUGAACCAGACUUGAGUAAUAAUAAUAAUUUAUCAAUAAAAUAUAAUAUUAUAAUGUCUAGUAGAUAAGAUUUAAAAAAUAAAUGAUAAAGGUAAGCCGAGAGGAGGUCAAAGCCACUACGAUUCGGCAUACAUUUGAUUGGCCACCCUUAAAUAAAAAAUGCAAAUUGUACCCUUUGCAUACGAAUUGUUUGGUACAACACACGAAUAAGGUUUACAUUAUAUACGUAUAAACUAUAGUAUAUAAGAUAUUGCAUGUGGUACAUAAUAUAUGAUUUAUAUAUAUGAGUGUGACGAGUGUGUACAUACUAACUGUAUUAUAUUUAUCCUAUUUCACCAGCGUUAAAAUUAAUUUAUUUUUCUAUCGUUUUCCGUUUUGUUUCUAUUAAUAUAUAGGUAAUAGUAUAAUUAAGUACAAUGUUUAAUUUUAUAAUAUUUCACUUCUCAAUUCUAAAUAUAUUUUUUUGUAAACACAAAAUACUAGAGACAGAUUCAAUGAAUGAUUAUACAA